GGGGCCUGUGCGUCCCGCGGUCAGUGGGCGCGCACGGUGUCCUUGUGCGCCCAGGCUGGUUUUGGUCUCCAAACUCACCGCAAUUCCUUCGUGCCGAGUGGAAUGUCCCGGGGCUGGCAGUACGAGGGUCGGGCGCAUGUUGCACAGCCUCUGUGACUUCUCCGGAGUUCUGGAAUGCUGAUCUGACGUCACAACAAAGUGCUGUGGAAACCCACCUGCCUGCUUAGGAACACGGAAGAACAAAGGAAUGAAGUGAUGUCUACGCUGUGGCCUGCUCCGGGAUAGACACUUUCACACCCUGAUUAGCCUUAAGACAUAAAACUUAAAACUCUGGGAUUUGGAGUGGGUUUGUUGUUUGUUUCUUUUUGUUUUAAUGGUAAAGGUGGACUUUGGUUAGGAAAAGAAAGAUCAAACCAAACCCUGCAACUUUGUUUAAAUGACAACCGACCCCUAAUCCCAUUGCCCUCUUAGUUCCCAGUGGUUCCAGAGAGAGAGGGAAUAUUGCCCAAUUCAGGGUCUUAGGCCUGCAGACUCAUUCCCUUACUUCAGAAACUCGAACUAAUAAUGAGCCUGAUUUCCCAGGUUAGAUUCAGAGACUGUGCUGGCACCCCCAAAGAUACCAUGCAUGGCCUCUUUCCCUCAGAUUUUUAUUCUGUAGCAAAUACUAGAGUGUUCUGACUAUUUUUAACUUCCAAAGACCUUAGCAAACUUUGAAGUCCCAAAACCUUGGUAUGAGUACUAACACGGUACCAACUCAAGGACUGAUUCCUGUCACCAAACACACUAAUGUGUAAGCCAGAACUGGUUUAUCGUACGAUUGAAAGGUCUGGACUCUUUAGAUUCACUGAUCAGUGUCUGUCUUUUGCUUCUUUAUACCUGAACCCACCAGUACAUGGCUGGGUCCAGAGUCCAUCUUCAAUAAAGGAAUAAAAAUGGAUGUUUAUUGAAGAGUA